GUGGAGUAACCAUUUGGAGCUAGCCGUCGAAGGUGGGACAAAUGAUUGGGGUGAAGUCGUAACAAGGUAGCCGUAUCGGAAGGUGCGGCUGGAUCACCUCCUUU
rnacentral:ncRNA from 1 species